rnacentral:rRNA from 1 species
UGCAUGUCUAAGUACAUGCCGUAUUAAGGCGAAACCGCGAAUGGCUCAUUAAAUCAGUCAUGGUUCCUUGGAUCGUACCUUUCUACUUGGAUAACUGUGGCAAUUCUAGAGCUAAUACAUGCAGCANAGCUCCGACCUUCGGGGACGAGCGCUUUUAUUAGACCAAAACCAAUCGGACCUCGUGUCCGUCUCUUGUGGUGACUCUGUAUAACUUUUGGNUGAUCGCACGGGCCUGUCCCGGCGACGUAUCUUUCAAGUGUCUGCCUUAUCAACUUUCGAUGGUAGGUUACGCGCCUACCAUGGUCGUAACGGGUAACGGGGAAUCAGGGUUCGAUUCCGGAGAGGGAGCCUGAGAAACGGCUACCACAUCCAAGGAAGGCAGCAGGCGCGCAAAUUACCCACUCCCGGAACGGGGAGGUAGUGACGAAAAAUAACAAUACGGGACUCUUUUGAGACCCCGUAAUUGGAAUGAGUACACUCUAAAUCCUUUAACGAGGAUCCAUUGGAGGGUAAGUCUGGUGCCAGCAACCGCGGUAAUUCCAGCUCCAAUAGCGUAUAUUAAAGUUGUUGCGGUUAAAAAGCUCGUAGUUGGAUCUCAGUUCCAGACGGGUGGUCCGCCUACCGGUGGUUACUGCCUGUUCUGAACAGUCACCCGGUUUCUCUUGAUGAUCUUACCGGUUGUCUUGGGUGACCGCCAAGUUUACUUUGAAAAAAUUAGAGUGCUCAAAGCAGGCGUGAUGCCUGAAUAAUGGUGCAUGGAAUAAUGGAAUAGGACCUCGGUUCUAUUUUGUUGGUUUUCGGAACACGAGGUAAUGAUUAAGAGGGACAGACGGGGGCAUUCGUAUUGCGACGCUAGAGGUGAAA